CUAAGAAUCUUGCGCAAUGGGCGAAAGCCUGACGCAGCAAUUCCGCGUGGGGGACGAAGGCCCUAGGGUCGUAAACCCCUUUUGUGAAGGAAGAAGUUCUGACGGUACUUCACGAAUAAGACACGGCUAACUACGUGCCAGCAGCCGCGGUAAUACGUAGGUGUCAAGCGUUGUCCGGAUUUAUUGGGCGUAAAGCGCCCGCAGGCGGCUUGCCAAGUUUGAAGUGAAAUCUCCCGGCUCAACUGGGAGG
rnacentral:rRNA from 1 species